AAAUCAAAACCUCAUUAAUUUCAGUAAUACUUUGCAACACAAAAGCGAUCAUCACGACGGCGGUAGCAGCAGCAGCAGCGACAGCGAUUAGAUCUCCAAUCGGUAUGUGGGAUGAGUGGUUCACAUGGAGCUAGAGCUGUCAUGAGUGUGCUUUUUCUGUUGAAAUAAAUUGUCAUGUAAUGAAAAAAAAAGGAAAAAAAAAAGAGUUAUGGAUUGGUGCUGAAUCCGUAAUCAAUGGGUGUAAUUGCUACUAGCUAGUGAAUGAAGAAGUUUUAAUAUUGUACUGUUACUCUGUUAGUUUAAUACUUCAUCAAGCAACUUGCCUUACGCGUU
rnacentral:lncRNA from 1 species